rnacentral:rRNA from 1 species
GAUGAACGCUGGCGGCGUGCCUAAUACAUGCAAGUCGAGCGAACAGAUGAGGAGCUUGCUCCUCUGACGUUAGCGGCGGACGGGUGAGUAACACGUGGAUAACCUACCUAUAAGACUGGGAUAACUUCGGGAAACCGGAGCUAAUACCGGAUAAUAUAUUGAACCGCAUGGUUCAAUGGUGAAAGACGGUUUUGCUGUCACUUAUAGAUGGAUCCGCGCCGCAUUAGCUAGUUGGUAAGGUAACGGCUUACCAAGGCAACGAUGCGUAGCCGACCUGAGAGGGUGAUAGGCCACACUGGAACUGAGACACGGUCCAGACUCCUACGGGAGGCAGCAGUAGGGAAUCUUCCGCAAUGGGCGAAAGCCUGACGGAGCAACGCCGCGUGAGUGAUGAAGGUCUUCGGAUCGUAAAACUCUGUUAUUAGGGAAGAACAAAUGUGUAAGUAACUAUGCACGUCUUGACGGUACCUAAUCAGAAAGCCACGGCUAACUACGUG